UCGAAGAUCCGAAGAUGUCAUUGGGAAGAUUGAAAUUUUAUUAAUUUUUGGAUCAAAGAUUGUAGAAUUUAACAAUUACUUGUUUAGGUAUAGUUGAUAUAACUUCAUCACGAAACAUUUGAUAACCAUUGUACAUUUGUACGAAAGAGCGCAUUGUAUGGGAAGUAAUCUUUGUGUAUUUCAUGUGUUGUUACAUGUAUAUGAUAUUUGAAAAGAUCUUUUUGCUUUAUAUCCUAUCGAUUGGAGUCGUUUAUAAAUUUAUAUAUAUAUAAACAUUUGUAUGUGUCUAUAUAUGAUAUUAUGAAUCUACAUUACAAUGUAUCAUUCACAUAUAUUACAAAACAUAUCUUUCUAAAGUAUUGUGAAACGUUCAAAUUGAAUAUUAUAUUAUUUUCACAAU
rnacentral:misc_RNA from 1 species